GAGAUAAUAUAGCAAGUGGUAGUAACAAGAUAACUUGAGCAUUUAUUUCACAAGGGGAAAACAGAAAUAUUUUUGGUUAUUCUCUCCCGGAUUAGGAGUAGAAUAUUUUCAGGUGGUUCUGGAGAUGGAAUGGAUGGAUAUAUGUGGAUGGUACUUCCAGAGUAGAAGUAGCAUAUAUGAGUGAACGUGCAAGUGAAAUCUUGAUUUAACCACAUGACAAGCUCCUAAGGGUCUACACAGCUUGAC
rnacentral:lncRNA from 1 species